GUGGAUUAGAUACCCUGGUAGUCCACGCUGUAAACGAUGUCGACUAGCCGUUGGGGACCUUCGUGUCCUUGGUGGCGUAGCUAACGCGCUAAGUCGACCGCCUGGGGAGUACGGUCGCAAGAUUAAAACUCAAAUGAAUUGACGGGGGCCCGCACAAGCGGUGGAGCAUGUGGUUUAAUUCGACGCAACGCGAAGAACCUUACCAGGUCUUGACAUCCAGAGAACUUUCCAGAGAUGGAUUGGUGCCUUCGGGAACUCUGAGACAGGUGCUGCACGGCUGUCGUCAACU
rnacentral:rRNA from 1 species